AUUAUCAAUUCUCUUUAUAGCAACAAGGAUAUUUUCCUCCGGGAGUUGAUCUCAAAUGUUGUUGAUGCGUUGGACAAGAUUAGGUUCCUUUCACUCACAAACAAAGAAGUUAUGGGUGAAGGUGACACUUCCAAGUUGGAGAUCCAGAUUAAGUUGGACAAAGAGAAGAAAAUAAAAGAAUGACAGGCGCACAUGGUUUUGAGAUUGUUAAUAAAGUGAGAAUGAGAAAAUUUCAAGUAAGCCAUCCAAGUUUGGUCACGUGGUUUUGGAUAGGAAGAUGGUCAAAUCACAAUUUCAGUCCUCCAUUUUUGGGAAAUUAUGUUGGGAAUCGAGUUCGUAUAUGUGAUGUUGCGGAUAUGUGAGAGAAAAAUUGGAAGCUCGACCAAAUACCUCUCGUUCCAUCCGUAUGCGUAAGUCGUAAUAAGUCGUUCGCAUGCAUCCGAAUCCGAAGUCUGUUUCGUCAAAUACAAACCCGAAUCAUUGGAAGUUGAAUUAAAGAUCGAGGGCAUUCGAAUGGAAUUUAUAUGGUCGAUAAGUAUGACACGGAAAUCGAUGUAAUCAGACAUGUUUCAGUCGGAUCUUGGCAGGUGGGGUAAAAUAAGGUACAUGUCAAUUCAGGUUGAUUUGACAUCAGAUCCAGAUCGGGUUCAGGUCAGGUCAUUUUCAGUUUGGAUCGAUGUCAGUUCAGGUCAAAACAGUUCAGGUCUGAAGCAGAUAAAGACCAGGUUAAUUCAGGUUCGGGUGGACUUCAGUCAGAUCUCGUUCUGAUCGGGUCACAUCAUUGACAGAUAAAAUUUAGGUCAUAUGUUUACCGGAUACGGAUUGAGUUCAU